rnacentral:lncRNA from 1 species
CAGACGGUGUCGUGCAUUAAAGAUCGACUUGUCUGGUGAGUAAUAAUGGAUUUUGUUACUGAUAUUGCAGAGAAAAGUAAAUUUGAUUUUGUGUUUAAUAGAUGCUAUACAGAUGCUCAAUUGUGGGCAAGUUUGUAUGAGCAAUGUAAACAAGCAAAUUCAGCUAUUGAUAAUAAAUUAUGUUUAAAUAAAACAAAAAAGAAAAUUAGAAAUGUUUUAAAAUUGGUAGAAACCUUUGACACAAUGAUCCUUAGAACAGGAGUGGCUCCAACAAAAUUGCAAGUACUAGCACAAGUAAAGGUGCAAAAUUUAAAAAGUACACAAACAGACAUUAAAGAGAAAUCUGUAUGUGUAGCAGAAAUGAAAUGUACUAACUGUGAUAGACUACAGGCAAGUAUUUGUGAUUUGAGAGAACAGCUGGAUCUUAAAUCUGAAUUAAUUUGUAAGCUCAGAAAUGAAGCUAAACAGUUGUGUGUAAUUACAAGGAGUGAUCAUAAUUUGAUACCAGAGCCAGUUGAUGUCACAGAAAUAUCAUCCCAGUCUGAUUUGCAACUCAGAAAAUUGUUAGAUAAGGCUGCAAAACUUAAAUUAAAAAUUCAAGAGCAGCUGAUGAAAGUUACCAAAGAUAUUCCCCCAUAUAAACCAUCAAUGGAUGCCUUUGGUAAUGCAGACGUAUUUGAGUCUAAUUUAGCUAAACAUAAUUUGAAUGAUGAACAGAGGAACAGAUUGUUUAAAAUAUGGCUGCCAACAUACAUUGCACGUAGGGAUAAAAAGUUCUGGUACACCUAUUGUGUGCACAGAGGAGAGGGAGUUCAACUGGCACUAAGUCGCUCAGACUGGAAAUAAUAGGGAUUCACAAAAACCUACAACUAAUAACAAGAAGAGCACUCUAGGGGAUAGUGCAUGGAUACCAGGAGCUGACUUGUGAAAAUAACUUAAAAUCUGACUAAUAAAUAAAAUGAGUAAUAUGCAAAAAUGUGUAAAAAAAGAAUGUGUAAAAUGUUGGGUACUGUGCCUUUAAGAGCUGCAAAACAAAACAGAAGUGAAGGUAUAAAUGCUAGGUGACAUAUAAAUGCAGUGAAUAUGUGCCAAACUAAAAACUAAAAGACGUGCUCACAAAAAUGUAUGGAGACAGUAUGUGUCAAAAAGAUGAAGGAAAAAAUAUAUAUAUAUCUAUAUAUAUAUGGUGUGCACGGUUAAUAGCACUUCCACUGGAUAUAAAUAGAAGUAACAGUGUUGCAAAGAAUAAUAGCAAUGUUGCAAAUAAUAGCAAAAAGGCAACAGUGACUGGGACUGUGUAUUUGAAGCAGUCAAUCAAUUGCUAUAGACUGAAUUAAAGUAAAACAAACUGGAUAUAGUAAAAAAACAGUUUAUUAUAAACAACAAUAGAAAUUACUUAAAUAGUUAUAAAAACCAAAAAAUAUAGGUCAGGAACAGUAGAUGAUAUUGUUACCAGUCUUAUGAAAGUGGACAGAUGUUGUAAACCCUCGGACUGGCUGAGGAUGGAUGUGAUUGAAUAAUGCCAAUUCGUCUCCUGAAUGCAGCUGCCGGUGAGGACGGCAUGCGUCUGGAUGUGCGCCCCAACAAGACCUCACUCCAGGGGACGGACAGAGCAGACAAUCUCGGUAGAUGUAUUCUCCAAGGGAUCUGUAUGCAAAGCAAUCUUUCUGCUGGUUCAAUCAGUCUGUAUCCUGCCUUGAUUGAUAAUAUCAUAGGCACAGAUGUUAUGCAAAGAAGAGGUUGGAUUGUUGAUUUGGGAAACAAAGCUAUUUGGAAAGAUGCUAAGGGUAGGAAACCAGUGCUAUUGGAUCCUAUUGAAUAUGGGGAGCUAGGAAUUGUUUGUCCAGUAGAUGUAGUGUCUACAGAAAUGCAAUGGCCUAAUACUAGGGAUAACCUUGAACUUAUCCAGAGUUAUCCAGAUUUAUGGGCACAAAGUAAGAAUGAAUGUGGAAGAUUUAAAAAUGUGCUGAUUGACAUUCAAGGUCCUGAUCCACCCCCACAGAGGCAGUAAAGAGUACCCCCAGAUUCAAUUGAUUCUAUUGCAAGUGUCAUUAAUGAUUUGGAACAGAGAGGAAUAAUUAGAAAAGCAAAUAGUCCAUGCAAUCAUAAUCUGUGGCCAGUGUUGAAAAAAUAAUCAAAUUCCUGGAGAUUAACAAUUGAUUUAACAACAUUAAAUAAAUACACACCACCUUCUGCACAUGUGGUAGCUGAAACCCCAGAUAUGAUGUCACGAUUGAUGUCAACGGCUAAAGUAUACUCAGUACCAGAUGUAAGUAAUGGGUUUUUCUCUGUACCACUGAAGCAUAGUUAUCAAUAUAAGUUUGCUUUUACAUUUCAAAAUCAGCAAUAUGUGUUUACUGUGUUACCCCAGGGAUUUCACAGUUCUCCAACAUAUUUUCAUCAGGCAUUUCUAGGCCAGAAUGCUUGUUACAAUAUGUUGAUGAUAUGCUUUUGCAGACUGAAACUGAGGAAGAACACCUGAUUCUGUUAAAUGAAUUAUUUUUCCUUUUGCAGGAUUCUGGUUUAAAACUGAAUACACGCAAAGUAACACUGAUGCAACCAGAUGUACAAUACUUGGGUCUACACAUUGGUCCAGGACACAAGAAGCCAGUGCAGGAAAGAAUCAAAACUAUUUCUUCUCUUCCUGUACCGACUUCACACAAGGCCUUACGCCAGUUCCUAGGAUUAAUGAAUUUUUCGAGAGAAUUCAUUGAAGGGUUCGCUCUUGAAAUAGUGAAUAGUGAAUCUUCAUUUGGACCAUGGGCAGAUGAACAUCAGAAUGCAUUUGAGGUACUUAAAAGAGACUUACAGGUUGCACCUGCUUUAGCGACAAUACAUCAAACUGCAUCUUUUGCAAUUCAAGUACAUACUUCAGAGACGGCAGUCUCCGCGGUACUAUUACAAUUGCAACAAGAGAUAUGGAGAAUAGUGGGAUAUUUUUCUAAAAUUCUUUCCCCAGUGGAAAGAGGGCUAGAAAUGUGUGCCAGACAUUUGGUAGGAGUACAUUUUGCGGUAAUGGCAACGGAACACAUAGUGGGAUUCAAGGACAUAAUUCUGCAAACACCACAUACACCUUUGAAAUUACUUCUUGAAAAAGGAAUUCCAGGUGUGUCACAUCAGAGAUUUUCACAAUGGUUAAUAGCUCUAUCACCAAAGCAAAUUAAGGUAGAACAGAAGGCAAAGUAUGUACUUCCACAACUAAUGCAAUAUGAGGGUAAACCCCUUGAAUGUUUAGCAGAAGUGGAAGAGAAUUUUCUUUCUCUUUUCAGAAAGGAAGCAAGUAAAUCUGAUGAACCUGUGUUUGUUGACGGGUCCAGAUUCUGUUCAGAUGGGAAGUACUAUACAGGUUAUGCUAUAUGGUAUCCAAAAUGGGGAUAUUCAGUAGAACAUAAAUUGCCAGGUCAUUUGUCAGCACAGAGAGCAGAACUAGAAGCAUUAAAAACAGUACUGACACUUGAGGAAAAAGAAGGGCGUCCCCUAGUGAUAUAUAGAGAUAGUUCAUAUGUGGUUAGAUCACUAACAGAACAUUUAGCUAUAUGGAAAAGAAGAGGGUUCGUAGAUGCCUCAAAUAAAGUGUUAGCACAUAAAGAGACACUAGAAACCAUAUUUGGAAUUGUGUCUCAAGAACCAUGUUUACAUGCUAUAGUUAAAGUUCCUGCCCAUCAUAAAGGUAAAGAUUUACUUAGUGACGAAAAUGAAAUAGCUGUAGCGGAGGGCCACGAGCUGCCCUGGGACUUACAUCAUGUUUAAACUGUAUGUGUCUAUUUGGUAAAUGUCUUUGCAGUAAGGGAAUGUAUUCGGGUGAAAUGGCUAAGUUUUAUGUGUAAAUGUACUGGAUUCGUCUGAAUGUAAGGUAGUUUCAUUCCCUUAGUUUGUUAGAAUGAAACUACCGAACAGUCAGGCCUCCCCUGUGUGAAGUGUGUUCUCAAUUACCCGUUGCAACAUUGUUGCGAACGGGUAAUUGAGAAGGGAAGUAGCCGUCCUUUGUUCUCGGGGAUGGCCGCCAUUCGACAAACGAACACGUGGCGGCGGCCAUUUUAAAACUCCCGAACAGCUGUGUUUUGCCAUUGAGUGUCUGGAACUCAAAUCGGACACUCGACUAGGCGAACACCGCUGAAUCCUCCACAAGCCUGGUCCGUUCGGUUCCUAACUACCGAACGGCCCCUCGUUCGGUAGAUAGAAAGAACCGAAUGAGGGAAUUCAGGCGAACCCUCCCUAGCCUCUAUAGCUAGAGGCUUUCGUGCAGUUUGUUCCCUUAUUCCAGGACCGACCGCAGGGCCCAUUCGCAUGGAACCGCAUUCGGCUAUUCUAGUCAGUGCGGUCGGUCAUUUUAUUCCCUCCAUACAUUUCCCGAACCCCUGGUCUGAUCUGGGUGAUUUCUGGAUAUGUUGUUCACCCAGAUCAGGGCUAUCAGGGGAUGUAGGAUUUCAAGGGGUACCCCUACGUUUAGGGGUACAUACAGAAACAGGGGGAAUUGCUAGACUGGAUAAGGGGAUUAUGAUGCAGACUGAGGGGAGGAGAUGUGUGGGAGGUUACCAGGACAGGAUUGGCUACUGUACUAAUGAUUGUAAAUCCCUCCCUUGCAUGGGAGCAUGCUUUAAAAGGGCAGUGUGGAUUAAAAGAUUUCAGUUCUGCUCCUGAAACUGUGUGUUGUCCAGUUAUUGGGAUUGCUGUGGGAUAUUGCUGUGUUAUUUCGCCUGCUGGAGACCUUGCCUAUGGAUUUACAAUUUACUUGUUCCUGAGCCUCACUUGGAUUAUAAGCGGAGAUACCUGGGGAUUAUUGCAUCUCCGCUACAUUUUUUGGCAGCGCUGGGAUCCAGACUCACAAGGGAACAAGGACUAAUGGAAUAUGGAUGGAGAGUGAUUAUGCCAAGCUAAAAAGAUCCACGCUAAAAGAUCUCCUGGAAGCGAAAGGUAUUGCAGCAAGCAACAAAAGGAAAGCAACCUUCAUUGCAGAAGUGAUGGCUGAAUACCAGCAUGAGGACAGGGUAAUCCAUGAGCAGCAGAGUUCAGCAGAUGGAGCUGAAAAAGAGGAGUUCCAGAGACAGCUGCAGUUUAGGCUGUCCUUUUAUGGAGAGAAUCCAACAGCGGAUAUUAAAUCCAGGACAAUGACAGAGGAGUUUAUACUGCGUCAAAGGCCACUACAGCAGCUGGAGAGGAAUGCUACCACAGCUACCAUCACACAUGGUAAGACAAAAAUUACUUACCAAGCAUUUAAAACAUAUGUAGAAGCAGAGGAGGAUAUAGAUGCUUUUCUCCAAGACUUUGAAAGACUUUGUGUGCAUUGCAUAGUAUUAGCCCAGACGAGUGGGUGCCUAUUUUAGCAGGGAAGCUCACAGGGAAGGCUGCUGAAGCAUAUAGAACUGUACCUGAUGAGGAAAUUCGAAAUUACCGCAGAGUAAAAGAGGUGAUCCUGGCCCGAAAUGCAAUCAUGCCAGAGGCAUAUCGGCGGCGGUUUAGAGACCUAAAGAGGAAUGACAAGGACUCUCAUGUGGAAUGGGCUUGCAAGUUACAUCGGGCCGCCCUGGGGUGGGUACAGUCCAAUGGAGGACUUAUUACAAAUGGUGUUGUUGGAGCAAUUUUAUGAGGGGGUAACCAGCGAUGUCCAGGAAUGGGUAAGGGACAGAAACCCUACCUCCCUCACCGAAGCUGCCAGGAAGGCAGAUGAGUACCUGGAUGCAUGCAGGCAGCAGAAACCUGCAGCCCCAAAAGCCACCUUUAAAACAUUUGGGGGAAACAACUACAACCCAGCUCCACCGAGACAACUGCCACCACCACCACCGCCCGCUGCACAGCCACGUUUUCGCCAGCCCACUUCUGGCCCCUGUCAUCACUGCCAGAAAUGGGGACAUUAUAAAAGGGAAUUUCCCCAGCUGAGGAAUCGUUCCACCUGGAUUCGCCCCGGCCCACCACCACCGCCAAGAGCAGCCGCAGCCCACCACUACCAGGAUAUAGUGGCAACACCAUAUGGUUCAGCCGUUCCCAUAACAACCGUGGAACAGUGGGAAGUACUGCACGAGGUGGAUCCAGUCCAGGCCAAUGCUGAUAACAGACAGCAUCACAGGCAGACCGUAUACCUGGAGGGUAAAGCGGUACAAGGACUACGCGACUCAGGGGCUACUAUCACCCUGGUAAAGAGUCACCAGGUGUCGGAUCAAGCGAAACUGAGUAAAACUGUGGCCGUCAGGGUAGCCGGGGGAGCAGUGUACCGGCUACCUACAGCAAGGGUACAUUUACAUUGGGGAGUGGGGGCAGGGCAUGUGGAGGUGGGGUUGAUGCCGCUGUUACCGGCAGAAGUAUUAUUGGGGAACGAUCUGGGGAGGCUCACGUCUGCUUUUGAGCCCCAGACAACCACCACAGGAGAAACUCAUCCUGUGGUCACCCAUCAACAGGCCCGCACCCAGGACUACAACACACUUCCGCAGGUUCAGGUAAGAGACCCUUCCCCUUCCCUUGACUGUGUUCCCUGGGCCCCUCCUAACGAAUUUGCAGUUGAAGUAGUGACUGACCCCACCUUACAGGUGUAUAGGGACAAGGUGACAGCAGACGCUCCUGGGGGAGAUGGCAAAAGGUUUAUCUGGGACAAACAGCUGUUAUACAGGGAGACAGAUAAGCAGGUAGCCGGGUCAGACCCGAUCGUGACGAGACAGUUAGUGGUACCCCAGCGGUACCGGGCCGAGCUACUCCGGAUAGCGCAUGACAUUUAUAUGGACAAGCCUUUUCCCUGUUCACGGAUCACAACCCGUUGGUCUGGCUAAACCGGGUGGCUGGGGACAAUGCCAGGCUGCUGCGCUGGAGUUUGGCGCUCCAGCCCUUUGACUUUAAUAUCCAGUACUGCCCGGGUAAACAGAAUGGAAAUGCUGACGGGUUGUCAAGACAAACUGACCUGGAGAAAUGAUCCGUGAGCCUCCCCGGACAUCCCCAAGCCGAUCCGUAUUGGAUCAGACUGUGUAUGCCGGCUUGUGGGCAAGGGGGAGCAGUGUAGCGGAGGGCCACGAGCUGCCCUGGGACUUACAUCAUGUUUAAACUGUAUGGGUCUAUUUGGUAAAUGUCUUUGCAGUAAGGGAAUGUAUUCGGGUGAAAUGGCUAAGUUUUACUUGUAAAUGUACUGGAUUCAUCUGAAUGUAAGGUAGUUUCAUUCCCUUAGUUUGUUCGAAUGAAACUACCGAACAGUCAGACCUCCCCUGUGUGAAGUGUGUUCUCAAUUACCCGUUUCAACAUUGUUGCGAACGGGUAAUUGAGAAGGGAAGUAGCCGUCCUUUGUUCUCGGGGGUGGCCGCCAUUCGACAAACGAACACGUGGCGGCGGCCAUUUUAAAACUCCCGAACAGCGGUGUUUUGCCGUCGAGUGUCUGGAACUCAAAUCGGACACUCGACUAGGCGAACACCGCUGAAUCCUCCACAAGCCCGGUCCGUUCAGUUCCUAACUACCGAACGGCCCCUCGUUCGGUAGAUAGAAAGAACCGAACAAGGGGAUUCAGGCGAACUCUCCCUAGCCUCUAUAGCUAGAGGCUUUCGUGCAGUUUGUUCCCUUGUUCCAGGACCGACCGCAGGGCCCAUUCGCAUGGAACCGCAUUCGGCUAUCUCAGUCAGUGCGGUCGGUCAUUUUAUUCCCUCCAUACAUUUCCCGAACCCCUGGUCUGAUCUGGGUGAUUUUUGGAUAUGUUGUUCACCCAGAUCAGGGCUAUCAGGGGAUGUAGGAUUUAAAGGGGUACCCCUACGUUUAGGGGUACAUACAGAAAUGGGGGGAAUUGCUAGACUGGAUAAGGGGAUUAUGAUGCAGGCUGAGGGGAGGAGAUGUGUGGGAGGUUACCAGGACAGGAUUGGCUACUGUACUAAUGAUUGUAAAUCCCUCCCUUGCAUGGGAGCAUGCUUUAAAAGGGCAGUGUGGAUUAAAAGAUUUCAGUUCUGCUCCUGAAACUGUGUGUCGUCCAGUUAUUGGGAUUGCUGUGGGAUAUUGCUGUGUUAUUUUGCCUGCUGGAGACCUUGCCUAUGGAUUUACAAUUUACUUGUUCCUGAGCCUCACUUGGAUUAUAAGCGGAGAUACCUGGGGAUUAUUGCAUCUCCGCUACAAUAGCUGAUAAAUUUGCAAAAAGAGCAGCUUCAACUGGUGAAAAUGCAGUGCAGACAGAGCCUAUGUCAGUAGCAGUGGCUAGAAAGACUAACACACAACCUCCAUCUUUUGCAGAAGAACAGGCAAAGGAUUCGUCCCUUGCGGCUUCUCGGGUUGAUCCAAAACCUCCAUUUGUUCAUGAGAACGGGGUUUUGUGUCAUGACCAAAACUGAGAACUGUGUCCGGUCAUGCCAGAACAUCUAAAAGUGUUAUUUACACAAUAUAAUCAUGAAAGUUUAGGUCAUAUUGGACAGCAGAAACUGUUAGAGGUACUCAGAAAUAAGUUUUAUUGGGAUAACAUGGAAAAGACUGACAACAGGUAAUUCAAUCAUGUUUGAUAUGUGCACAAAUAAAUCGCUGACCUAAAGGACAAAAAACACCUAUACAACGUAUAGCACCUGCAAAUGGUCCUUGGACUACUUUACAAAUUGAUUUUAUUGGGCCAUUACCAACAGGUAAGAAUGGAUUAAAAUAUGCGUUAGUAGUUGUGGAUGUAUUCUCUAAAUGGUUAGCAGUAAUUCCACUGACUAAAUAUGAUUCCCAAAAAACGGCUGAAGCAUUAUGGACACACAUUUUCUCAAGAUGGGGAUUUCCUAGACUUCUAGAGUCAGACAGAGGUACCCAUUUCACAGGGAAAAUCAUGCAAGCACUGUGUGCUAUUCUAGGCAUAGAGCAAAGAUUCCAUGUUCCAUAUCAUCCACAAUCUGCUGGGAUUGUGGAACGUAUGAAUCGAACAUUGAAAUCUAGACUUUCAAAAAUGUUACUUGAGAAAGGCAACACAUGGGUACAGUCACUUCCUACUGUACUUAUGGGUAUUAGAGGCACUAUGUCGUCAGCUACAUACACUUCAUUUGAAUUGAUGACAGGCAGGAAAAUGCAGUUGAAUUUUCCUAAUGAACCAUACUUGUCUACCCCACAGAAAGAUGCAAUUGCUAAAAAUAAAUGGUUGCAAAUGCUGCAGGAAAAUUUGGAGCAAAUUCUUCCACAUACAGCUACUCGUAUGUGUAAAAUGACACCUCCUGAUUUUUCAAAGUUUUUAAAGGGGGGUAUGUCCAUGAUAAAAACUUUUAGGAAAACUGGACCUUGGGAGGCAAACUGAGAAGGUCCUUAUAACAUAACAGAUACAAUGGGGCAAACAAUGGUACAAGUGCAAAGACCUCUUGAUGGUUCAUGAAAUAAACGGAGGCAAAAUUGUUUUUGGCUUCAUGCAGAUCAGUGCAAAUUGUAUAAACCUACAACAUAAUUUGAUAAUAUAUUGAUACUGCUUUGUUUUUCUUAGUUUAUUUUAGAUAAUUUGUAAGCAGACCUACAGACGAAAGUUGGCCAGUAACAGAAGAUGUGUUUGCAAAGACAACCGUGUAGCAGAAAGAAGUUGUUCGUCAGCAUCCUGCUAACAUUGAUGACUACAGUUCUUGUAAUAGUUCUUUUUAAGAUUAACAAAACGACUUUCAAUCAGGAGUUAAAGAAUGACUUAUUGGGAAAUAUUAAAAAAAAGAGAGACAAUGAACAAGUUUUAAAAGGCAUGUUUGUUUCGGGACAAAAGAUCUACAAGUAUGCAAUGUGCUAAUUAAAUUCACAGGAGAUAGUGUUAUUAAUUUAAACAUUACAAUAGGUCCUAAUGAUUUAUUUAGUUGGACCAAAGGUUCAUUUGUACAAGACAAUGUAAAAACAGGAUCAUGGGAACUUAACAUAUUACAAAAUGCAUAUAUCAUGAUUGUAGUUAAUGGAGAGGAAAUGGUAAAUUGGUCAGGUGACAUGUAUGUGAACGUUGCACAAACUUCAGUAACAACAUGAGGACGAGGUGGUGAGGUACUUUAUACAAUUCAAUAUUGGCUUAUACAUUUAGAGCCAGAAUUCCUGUUACAAAAUAAUACUCCGGGUAUACCUUGGAUAUGGGAAAUACAAGCAUCUAGGCAAUCGUUUCUGGUAACUGAUUAUGUUAUGCAAGAUAUUAUAAUGAAGCCUAGUCUUGUAGAUAUCCAGGAAGGAAAGG